ensembl:lncRNA
CGCGCCGCUCCGCCCCGCCCCGCCCUGGCCUCCGGCCCCGCCCCCGCUGCCCCAGAGCCGCCGGCCCGGCCUGGGAUGGGGGCGGGGGCGUGGGCCGCAGCCCCUUCCUCUGAACCUCUGGGCCCUGGCGGUGGGGAGAUCUGCAGGGCAGGAGUGCACGGCUCGCAAGGCGUGAGGCAGAUUCUUAACCACUGUGCCAACAAGGAAGUCCUCAAACGCUGAUUGAAGGAUAUUAUGCAAAAUACUUGACCAGGACUCCUCAAAACUGGAAAAGAUCUCAAAAAGCUCGGAGACACAGAAGCAGGCACAGGUCGGAGAACACAAGGAGACACCCCAGAUGGAUGCAGGGUGGCUCCUGGUUGGAUCCUGGAACAGGGAGUGCAUUAAUGGAAAAGCUGGUAAAAUCCAAGCAGAGAAAGAAUGGCAGUAGUCCUCUUCAUGCUGUAAAUAAGGAGGCAGAAGCCCAGAAGCUUAAAGAUUUGCCAAGAUCACACAGAAAGGCGGGGGUAGAACUAGUCCCAGAAGCCAAAUGUCCUGAAUGUCACUCAGGGUCAGCUGCCUCCAUCUGUCCCCUUGUGCUAGUCACCUCUGCCUCCUUUAGGGUAGGAGUGAAAUGAAGGGCAUGGAGGGGCCCCUUUUUCUAGCCUUGCUUCUAAGCUGCAAAGUGAUUAAAGAGGACUUUGAGUUGUAUAUUUGAAGGAGGUGAUUCUCAACCCAGGCAGAUGGUCCUCCCCACCCAACCUUAGGAAAACCAAGGCUCUGAGGCUCAGAGAAAACUUCGGUUAUUUCUGUUGCCAGAGCUUCCAAAAGGGAGGCUAGUCUGGAGAGAUGGGAGGUUGCAUGCAUGAGUUUCUGGCCUCCCAAUCUAUGUGACCACAGCUCUGACACCUACAAUUCCUUCCUCGAAACCCUUCCAUGGUCCCCAUUGUUUUCAGUAGCCACAGGAUUGAUAUGCCCAGUUGCACAGGCAGUGCACUGCACAAUUUGAAUUAUGAUCUGAAUGGCAUCUCCUGGAGUUGUACAGUUCGCAGCUUACACAACCAUACACAAUGAGCCCAGGUUACAUUUCUCAACAUUUUUGAACACUCAAAUUGUUUUCAUAGUGAUCAGUGACCUCGCAAACCCUUUUUUGAAUAAAGAAGAUAAUUUCAUUUUUCUGCAAGAUGAAGAGAUAUUUUGAGAAAAUUUAUUUUAGAUCAAUCUGAUUCUAAAGAUUGUAUUAGAGAGUUUAUAUUUAACAAGAUUUGUUGCUACUUUGGAUCCUUUCCUAUUUAAUAAAUGAUGCCAACUGUUUAAUAGAAUUUAAAUUAAUUUUGUGGGGAAAAAUUGAGAUUUACAGACAAAUGCAUUGAAAAUAUCUUGUUAGUCUUGGUUUGGAGACUGAAUGUAUGCUGAAAUUGUCAUUAUAUAUUGAAAUUUAAC